UUGGAGGGCAAGUCUGGUGCCAGCAGCCGCGGUAAUUCCAGCUCCAAUAGCGUAUAUUAAAGUUGUUGCAGUUAAAAAGCUCGUAGUUGAAUUUCGGGAUUCUUCCGUUGGUCAGGCUAACAAGUCUGUACUAGCGUGUAGAAUCUCUACCUUCUGGGGAACCAUCAUGUUAUUAAUUUAGCGUGGUGGGAAACCAGGACCUUUACCUUGAAAAAAUUAGAGUGUUCAAAGCAGGCUUACGUCUGAAUACAUUAGCAUGGAAUAAUAAAAUAGGACGGUGGUCCUGUUUUGUUGGUUUCUGAAUCACCGUAAUGAUUAAUAGGGAUAGUUGGGGGCAUUAGUAUUCAAUUGUCAGAGGUGAAAUUCUUGGAUUUAUUGAAGACUAACUUCUGCAAAAGCAUUUGCCAAGGAUGUUUUCAUUAAUCAAGAACGAAAGUUAGGGGAUCGAAGACGAUCAGAUACCGUCGUAGUCUUAACCAUAAACUAUGCCGACUAGGGAUCGGACGAUGUUAAAUUUUAUUGACUCGUUCGGCGCCUUACGGGAAAC
rnacentral:rRNA from 1 species